rnacentral:rRNA from 1 species
AGAGUUUGAUCAUGGCUCAGGAUGAACGCUGGCGGCAGGCUUAACACAUGCAAGUCGAACGCACCGCAAGGUGAGUGGCAGACGGGUGAGUAACGCGUGGGAACCUUCCCUAUGGUACGGAACAACUUCGGGAAACCGAAGCUAAUACCGUAUAUCUCCUGAGGGAGAAAGAUUUAUCGCCAUAGGAUGGGCCCGCGUUG